GGCUAACAUGGUGAAACCCCAUCUCUACUGAAAAAUACAAAAAAUUAGCCGGGCGUGGUGGCACAUGCCUGUAGUCCCAGCUACUCGGGAGGCUGAGGCAGGAGAAUGGCAUGAACCCGGGAGGCGGAGCUUGCAGUGAGCAGAGAUCGUGCCACUGCACUCCAGCCUAGACGAAAGAGCAAGACUCCGUCUCAAAAAAUAAAUAAAUAAAUAAAUAAAUUUUGUCUUCUCAUUGAUUUCUAUUAUUAAAAAAAAAUACUUAAAGCAAGCUAGCUUUUGGCUAGAGCUAAGCACAACAGAAAGGGUCACCUUUAAAAAGUCAUCAUUUUUGCACAAGAAAGCUGAGUGGCUUGGGACAACAGAAAUUGAUUUUCAAAUAGCUCUAGAGGCCAGAAAUCCUCAAUCCAGGUGUGGGCAGGGCCGCCCUCCCUCGGGGGACCUAGGGGAGGGUCCCUCCUAGCCUCUUGCAACUCUGGUGGCUCCACCAUUCCUCAGUUUGUGGCCACAUCCUCCAGUCUCUGCCUCUGUCUUUUCCUAGCUCUCUCCUCUCUUCUGUGUGUGGGCCUUCUCUUCUGCCUCUUACAAAGACAUUUAUCAUUUAGGAUUUAGAACUUCUUUUGAAAAAAGGAGGUCAGCUAUGGGGCUUAGGAUAUGGACAUAUCCCUUUAGGGGUCACCAUUCAGCCCCCACAGCCAUCACAGUCUUCGUCCUCUGGCCUCUGGGAGCUGAAGUGAGUUCCCAGGUUGGCUGAAGCUGGGCCCUGUCCUGUGUGUCCUGUGAAUGGCUCUGCUGUAAGAGGGGCCAACCUGACACCUGCACAGGUGAACACCUGCACUGUUCACCUUCUCCAUUCCUUUCCUCUGAGAACCUUAGAACCGUAGAUGACUGGAAACUGUCCAGACUUUUACGGCACAAGCAAAUACCCCACGUUCUCAUUCCAGACUCAGUCCCUGCAUUGCGAAUGUUCCCACAGAUGACGGUCGCCCUCCACCUGCCUUUCCUCAAGAGUUAC
rnacentral:lncRNA from 1 species